GACUGUACAAAGGUAGCAUAAUAAUUUGUUUCUUGAUUGGAAACUGGUAUGAAUGGCUGGAUGAGAAGUAAUCUUUCUUUAUUUUAUUUAUAAAAUUUAAUUUCUAAAUUAAAAAGUUUAGAUUUAUUUAUUAGACGAGAAGACCCUAUAGAACUUUAUAUUUACAUAUAUUUUAUUAUAUAGUUUAUUUAAUUUAGAAUAUAAUUUAUAUUUUGUUGGGGUGACAGAAAAAAAGUUAACUUUUUUAAAAUAUUUCAUUUAUAUAUGUUAAAUUGAUCCAUUCUUAAUGAUUAAUAGAUUAAGUUACCUUAGGGAUAACAGCGUUAUUAUUUUGGAGAGUUCUUAUCGAUAAAAUAGUUUGCGACCUCGAUGUUGGAUUAAAAUUAUAAUUAGGUGUAGAAGCUUAAUUUUAUAGGUCUGUUCGACCUUUAAAUUUUUACA
rnacentral:rRNA from 1 species